rnacentral:rRNA from 1 species
AGACACGGCCCAGACUCCUACGGGAGGCAGCAGUAGGGAAUCUUCCGCAAUGGACGAAAGUCUGACGGAGCAACGCCGCGUGAACGAUGAAGGCCUUCGGGUCGUAAAGUUCUGUUGUUAGGGAAGAAUAAGUACCAGAGUAACUGCUGGUACCUUGACGGUACCUAACCAGAAAGCCACGGCUAACUACGUGCCAGCAGCCGCGGUAAUACGUAGGUGGCAAGCGUUGUCCGGAAUUAUUGGGCGUAAAGCGCGCGCAGGCGGUUUCUUAAGUCUGAUGUGAAAGCCCACGGCUCAACCGUGGAGGGUCAUUGGAAACUGGGGAACUUGAGUGCAGAAGAGGAGAGUGGAAUUCCACGUGUAGCGGUGAAAUGCGUAGAGAUGUGGAGGAACACCAGUGGCGAAGGCGACUCUCUGGUCUGUAACUGACGCUGAGGCGCGAAAGCGUGGGGAGCGAACAGGAUUAGAUACCCUGGUAGUCCACGCCGUAAAC